AUCACAUUCUCCAUUAUUGCUGCCUGCCCAGAGAGCUGGCUGGCUGUGUGUAGUGCAAGCUCCCUCCCUCCCCACCACUUCUGGGACGUUCUGGGAAAAGCUUGUGGGCCAGCACCUCGGGGCUAAUGGGAGAUUGUCUCUCUGUGGGUGCCAGAGAACUGAGCUCUCUUCCUGAUGAGCUGGUUCCUUUCACCUUGGAAAGCUCGAGGGGCCCUGAAGGAUGAGGAACCUGAGGGAUAAGGAGAGCAGUGAAGGGUGAGCUGAAGUGGAGGAAGAGUUACAAAGCACUUUCCUUAAAACAGCACAGAACGCAGCCACAACCAUGUGAGCACCACUCUGACACACAGUUUGAGGCAGAGGAUUAGACCAGGUAUUUGUCUUUGGAAUAUUUGCUUUAGAAACAUGAUGACAUUAUUCACUCCAAGAGAACUCCAAAAUCAUGGGCCACUUGUCCCUGGGUUGGCAUCUGAACUCAGUAGCUUAUUUGCUUUGUGACCUUGAUCAGUUUUCCUAUCUGUGAAAUCAGCACCCACCUAUGGGUUUGUGUGCAUGGUGUGUGUGUGUGUGUGUGUGUGUGUGUGUGUGUGCUGAUUAAAUGAGGCAACACAUAUAAAGACCACCAAAAACAGUAUCUCCUGUGACUAUCUUAGAAUCCAGGAGGCCGUCAAAGGGCAAGGUGAGAAAGCUGGUUCAGACAGUGCAGAAAUUAUCUGGGUACCACAAGAUGAGAAAGAGAUAAUAAGUCUAGAAACUUGGUCUUCUGAUCCUUGACCCAAUCUAGGUCCUUUCCGUCCAUCCCACUGUCUCCCUAAUGCUGUCCAUGGACAUCAGGAGCUUGAGUAGAUUUGGGGUGCAUCAGGCUACUUUCUACUUCCUUGAUGACAAGAUUUCUUCACUGCAGACUAACCUCUUCUCGGUCACUCUUCCUUGUUUUGUUGACUGUGUCUGAGGAAUGGCUUAAAUCUGCCUAACAGUGUGAGCAUUGCCCCUACCUGUCUGCUGCGUUGGGUUAAAAAGCAUGGUAGUCCAAUAAACAGAACUGGGAG
rnacentral:lncRNA from 10 species